rnacentral:rRNA from 1 species
UACGAAGGGUGCAAGCGUUACUCGGAAUUACUGGGCGUAAAGCGUGCGUAGGUGGUUGUUAAGUCUGUUGUGAAAGCCCCGGGCUCAACCUGGGAAUGGCAAUGGAUACUGGCAGGCUAGAGUGCGGUAGAGGGUAGUGGAAUUCCCGGUGUAGCGGUGAAAUGCGUAGAGAUCGGGAGGAACACCAGUGGCGAAGGCGGCUACCUGGACAGUUACUGACGCUGGAGGCACGAAGGCCAGGGGAGCAAACGGG